CGGGGCGGAAGGGAGGAGCCAGGGUCUUCCUCCUCAUUUCUCUCUGCUUUAGUGGCAACUUGGGAAGUGGUUGGGUCACCGCCAGGGUUCCAGCUCCCAUGGGCAGCCCCCUGCCUGACUGUGGUUCCGGUGUCCCACACCUAGUCUGGUUCCCAGGCUUUGGGUAUCGGCACUUCCUCCCCGGUCUCUGGAGUCCCAGGUUGUCACAGCUGCCUGCCGCUGCUUGUCGACAGGAUCUCAUGUUAUUUAGGCUUGUCUGGGACUCCUGGCCUCAAGCAAUCCUCCUGCCUCGGCCUACCGAAGUGCUGGGAUUACAGGCAUGAGCCACUGCACCCGGCCACCAGCAUUUGUUAAAGUCUCACCACGGAUCAGGCUCUCAUCUAAAAAACUUGAAGUUGUCAUUCUGUGUCCUUACAGUAAC
rnacentral:lncRNA from 1 species